GGUCUGAUGAUGGAUCCGCAGACACACCUGCGGGCACACCGGUGGAGCAUGAACAGGUAAGGCUUCUUUGUGGCAAACCAGUUUAAAACAUCAGUGCCCUGUAUCGCUGUAUUAUUCCCAAUCAGUUUAUUAAUGUUUAUGCAUCUUUUUGCUGUCCAAGAAGAAUAUUACUGUAGAGCAAUUCUACAGUAUAAUUCGCCUACACACACCGAAGCAAGGGAGAACAUCAUCUCGUGCUUCAGGAAACUAGAAAGGAAUCACUUUGAACUUUGGGUGAAAAGAAAAAUCUACAAUAAUUGUACUUUUGUUUCUUUUUUUGAUAUUUUAUUAAAAUACUUGAAAAUCAUUUUUAGGCAUGGCCUUUUCUGACAAAUUUGCUGCUGAAUUGAUUUAUGUUACACAAUUAAAAUUGUAUAUUGUUUAAAUCUCUUUUGGCCUACUUUGUUGAGAAUAUGAUUCUUUGAAAUUAGUUACAGGUUUCUAUUUUCAUUUGAUUUUUUAGUUUAGUUUGGUACAAGCAAACUAUUCAUAUAAAUGUGUAUAUAUAUAUACAUUUAUAUGAAUAAAUGUAUAUAUAUAUAUAUAUAU
rnacentral:lncRNA from 1 species